rnacentral:lncRNA from 1 species
CUCGCUCCGCGCCGCCGCCGCCGCCGCCGCCUCCUGGUCCGAGGGGUGCUGGGCGGGGACCCGGAGGAGGAGGAGGAGGAGGAGGAAGAAGAAAGAGGAGGAGGAGGGAAGAGAGCCGCGCGCGCCUGCCCUUAGCGCCGCGAGGCCGGGGGACGGGGGGUGGAGGCGGCGGCGGGGAGUCUCCGCCUCAGCAGCGGCCGCGACCGCCGCUCUCUCAACUCGGAUGGCCCCUGCGCCCCUCUAGCCAUCCGUCUUCCCAGUGCAGUUGCGGCAGCGGCGAAAGCCGACGGGACGAGGGCGCCAGAGAAAGAGCAGGAGCAGACGGAGGCGGUACCACGGCUCGGAGCAGCAAUGACAUUCCCCCCACACCCGCCGCCCGCCCCGCCGUGAGGAGCAGGAGGAGGAGUCCCCCGGAGUCCGGGCGGAGCUCAGGCUACCUCUGACUCCGCCCCCGACCCAACAGGAACUGGCCCCUACGCCUGUCACAAUGCGACAGGUCCGUUAGGGGGCGGGCCCAGAACCGCGGUGCCGGCCAAUGGGGGCGCGAGCUGGGGCGGGGCUUGGCCCCACCGUUCUCCCCUCCCCCUCCCGGCCUCGCGCUUGUUCGCCCGGAGCGGCCUGGCUGCGCGGUUACUGUUUCAUUGUCAGUUGAAAGACGCAGUUUCUCGCGCCUGUAUUGGCGGCCAGGAGGGGCGCUAGGCGACUCCGCGCGUUGCUUUGAGCUGAGCCGGGUCAAGGGGGCGGGAGGUGGUCGAGGACAGACGGGCGGCCUCCUUUAGAACCGGUUUAGGGAACGCAGGGAGCGCCGCGCCGACUGGCCGGCCGCUCGCGGGCGCUCCGAGGUCAUGACUUUUAACCCGCUUUGCGUGGAGCGCCCAUCACGUGACCGGGCGCGCGGGCGCGCAGGCGCGCAGUACUAGUGCCCCGCGCGUGGGUCUGGCGCGUAGGGAUCUGCCUCCUGGGGCUCCCCGCUCCUGGCGCAGCGAAUCACCAGCCAGCGGCCGCGCCGCGACCAGCCCAGCGAGCGGCGCCAGGCGGCCUGCCUCCGAAGUCCCGGGCGAGGGCACGUUUGCCGGCGCUGGGAACUGGUCGGAGCCGGCAAACAAGCCCCUAGCUCGGGAGGGACCCCGUGGGACAAGCGAAGUGCGACUUUCUCCGGCUUUUUUCGCUUCUUGUAUUUUCCUGAUUGCAAAGAUAACGUUUGUUCACUGGAAAUGUGGGCAAAGGGAUGUGAGACUGAAAACAAGCUACCAGGAGUUAGCCCGCCCUGCCAGGGCAAACUUCUCCCACCUGCCAGCAUCUCCUGGAUGCACUCGACUCCCUUUCAUUUCAACACUGAGAACCCAAACAUUUGUGAGAAUAAAAUCUUAUUCAGUACUCAUUAAGUGUCUGCAAGCUUACUAUGUCACAGAGAUAAGAAAAACACUCAAGAGUCUGAGUACACUUCAGAAAAAUAUUCUGAUGAUGGCUUUGGACCAGAACGUUUACCCAAAUGGGAAAAGGAGAUGUGGCAGAUGCUAUGAAUGGCCCACUCACCUCCCCGUCACCCCUCCACCCCCAGAUGUCACCUGCUGCUUCCGUGGAGAAUCCCUCUACUUGCACAAAGCUUCCUCUCGCCUGUAUCUCUCUGCCUUUGGGAUGUGCUGGGCCUGGGUGAGGCGGAUGCCCCAGUAGCAACCCUCAAGUGUAUAGGGACAGGAGCUGCAGGAUAAAUAUCCACAUACCUUUAUCCAUCUGGGAGAAGGGACAAUUCUGAGAUGUGCUCUAUGCAGGCACUAGUGUAUCCCCAGCAGGACUGAAACCCUGUUGCCCAUGUCAGUAACAUCUUCAUUAGCAUACCCUUUAUUGGUUUUCCUCCCUUUCCUGUCUCACUUCGCUACUCUCUCUGUGCUUCUUGUGAUCGCCUCCCAAAUAAACGACUUGUACACAAAAUCUUGUCUUAGGGACUGACUUUUGGGUGAAUGCAUUUAGGACAGGAGACUUCAGAAGGACAGUGAGAGGAGAACUACAGAAGAUGAGAUCAGGUCAUUCUUAGCUACAAGAGAAUCAUUGUCUUUUAUGUUCUUCUGAAUCAUCUCUGUCUUUAGAUUAUAAACUAUUGAGAACACCGGCUGUUUCUAAUCAACUCUAUACAUCUCUACAGUCUAUGUGUGCAAUGAAGAAAGACUCGAUAAAUAUUUGAUAAU